AAGUGUGAGGUUAUUAUGUGAUUUUGAUUUGCAUUUUCCUGAUGAUUAGUGAUAAGAACUUUUUCAUAUAUGUGUUGCCCAUUUUUAUAUCCUCUUUGAAGAAAUGUCUAUUUUUUUAAUUUUUAAUUUUUUUUGACACUCUGUCUCCCAGACUGGAGUACAGUGGCUUGAUCGCAGCUCACUGCAGCCUCGACCUCCUGGGCUAAAGCGAUCCUCCUACCUCCCGAGUAGUUGGGACCACAGGCGUGCACCAUCACACCCAGCUAAUUUCUUUGUAGAGACAGGAUUCUGCCAUGUUGCCAAGGCUGGUCUUGAACUCCUGGGCUCAAGUGAACUGUCUGCCUCGGGGUUAUAGGCGUGAGCUACCAUGCCCAGCCUGAGAAGUGUCUAUGUAAGAUCUUAGCCCAUGUUAAAAUCAGGUUUUUUUGUUGUUGAGUUGUAGAGAUUCCUUAUGUAUUUUGGAGAUUAACCCCUUACCAGGUAUGUGGUUUGCAAGUACUUUCUCCUAUUCCAUAGGUUGCCUUUUUGCUCUGUUAAUCGUUUCCUUUGCUGUGUGGAAGCUUGUUUGCUGUAGUCUCAUGUGUUUAUU
rnacentral:lncRNA from 1 species